GAUGAAGAACGUAGUGAACGUGCGAAACGUAAUGUGAAUUGCAGAAUUCAGUGAAUCAUCGAAUCUUUGAACGCAUCUUGCGCUCCUUGGUAUUCCGAGGAGCAUGCCUGUUUGAGUGUCGUGAAAUACUCUCAAUUUCAAUCUUUUUGUUUGAAAUUGGAUUUGGAUGUUGUUGUGGAUCUUGCUACGACUCAUCCUAAAUGCAUUAGCGAUCUGCCUUGAUCACACACAAUGUGAUAAGAUGAGCAUUGUUAUAAUCAAGUCAUGACUGCUUAACCGUCCCUUUGGGACAAACGUCUUAUGUCGUUUGACCUCAAAUCAGGUAGGACUACCCGCUGAACUUAAGCAUAUCAAUAAGCGGAGGA
rnacentral:misc_RNA from 1 species